UGAUGAUUCAACAAUCAACAUUUUUCCAAUUUGUGCUGGUCCUUUAUAUUUCCAAGAAUGGGUGGUCCCAGUUGGCACUGCGCCACUGUUAAAUAAGCCCUUCCUGCACCACAGAAUAAGCAGUAAGGCUCAGCUGCUGAUGCACUUUUUCUGUGGCUGAAGAACAGGUCAACAAACUAUUGCAAAAUACAUUGUAGAGUAAGAUUUGAAGCCUCCUUCAAGGUACUUAAAGAGCACAAGGGUGGCCAGAUGAGAGGCAAUUGCAGAGGAACGUUUUCCAAAAGCAGAACUUUCUGUCAGAGCGACGGUCACAC